UGGUGGAGUGAUUUGUCUGGUUAAUUCCGUUAACGAACGAGACCUCCGCUUGCUAAAUAGACACAUUCUUACUCGUUAAGGAUGGUAGAUCUUCUUAGAGGGACACUCGGUUUUUAGCCGAGGGAAGUUGGAGGCAAUAACA
rnacentral:rRNA from 1 species